CCGAAAGAACUUUGCACCCUCCUGUAGUGGGCUAUGGGGUCUGGCUUGAUCAGAUCAGACCAAUGCUUUGGGCCCUUUGGUCUGCUAUGCCUUUCAACAAUCAAACCCGUCAUUGUAUGUUGUGAGGUGGCAUCCUCACAUUGUGGGCUGCCCCUUCAAAUAUGUAAAUGUGAAUA
rnacentral:misc_RNA from 1 species